AAAUUGGUCUAUAUAUAAACGUGGGAAUUGGUGUUGAACGAACUACCAAAUGGAGUAAAAAUUAGGUUGAACUUAACUGGGAAAAGGUUGAAGUAAUCUAGCAGGUGAGCUCUUUUUGACCGCUAAACAACUGGGGAACAAGUACAAAAUAAGUUCUUGUCACCGUACGCAUCAUCUAAUCGAGCAACGCUAGGCCAGAAUUUCCGUUCCUUUAAAAGAGGCACAGGAUAGACAGCCCGCUCUCGAGUAUAAGGACGAUCCCAUUUCUCAGAUGCAAUGUCCUUUUGAGGGUGGGGAGCAUUAACGAGCAGGUUAUUGUCCUUAGGCUGGAGACCUUCUUCAAUUUCACGAAUUUCUUGUCGAAUAGAAAUUAAAGCAUCACAGAAGCGGUCCAUCUCAUACAUACUCUCAGACUCGGUAGGCUCAAUCAUCAGUGUAUUAGC